rnacentral:rRNA from 1 species
UAUUGGGCCUAAAGCGUCCGUAGCUGGCGUGCAAGUCCAUCGGGAAAUCUGCUCGCCUAACGGGCAGGCGUCCGGUGGAACCUGCAUGGCUUGGGACCGGAAGACCAGAGGGGUACGUCCGGGGUAGGAGUGAAAUCCCGUAAUCCUGGACGGACCACCGGUGGCGAAAGCGCCUCUGGAAGACGGAUCCGACGGUGAGGGACGAAAGCUCGGGUCACGAACCGGAUUAGAUACCCGGGUAGUCCGAGCUGUAAACGAUGUCUGCUAGAUGUGCCACAGGCUACGAGCCUGUGGUGUGUCGUAGGGAAGCCGUGAAGCAGACCGCCUGGGAAGUACGUCCGCAAGGAUGAAACUUAAAGGAAUUGGCGGGGGAGCACUACAACCGGAGGAGCCUGCGGUUUAAUUGGACUCAACGCCGGACAUCUCACCAGCAUCGACAAUGUGCAGUGACGGUCAGUGUGAUGAGCUUACCUGAGCCAUUGAGAGGAGGUGCAUGGCCGCCGUCAGCUCGUACCGUGAGGCGUCCUGUUAAGUCAGGCAACGAGCGAGACCCGCACGCCUAAUUGCCAGCAGUACCCUUGUGGUAGCUGGGUACAUUAGGUGGACUGCCAGUGCCAAACUGGAGGAAGGAACGGGCAACGGUAGGUCAGUAUGCCCCGAAUGUGCUGGGCGACACGCGGGCUACAAUGGCCACGACAGUGGGAUGCAACCCCGAAAGGGGACGCUA